rnacentral:lncRNA from 1 species
AAUAAUUUUUGUAAGAUACAUUUUUCAUAGAUGAUUUUAUGGGUUUAAAUUUUUAAAAGAAAAAAAUUGGUUGGAACACAUAAAACAAAUACCCGAAUUGCAUGGCCCCAUGUAAUAGAAAGGAUGACUAAUGACCAAAGUGGAAGGUGGAAAAAGAAAGAUAAAGGAAAGAGAAAAAAAAGAAAAGAAAGAAAGAGAGAAAGACUAAGGAAAGAGGAAAGGAAAAGGAGGGAAAAAAAAAAAGGAAUGAUAGGAUUAGGAUGCACCAAAAGGGGGAAGAUGAUGGGAGCCACUACAAUUUCAGAAACUGAUGUAUCUAC